ACACACAUGUGCGCAAACAAAGGAAAGUAAAUAAUAAAUUAAAUGAAAUAAAAACAUGAUAAAAGCGCAUAAAGCCGAACCAAAUGCUAACUGAUGUAGUGAAAUUUAGCGAUAGCGAGAAAAAUGGGGCGAAGGCAGUACCACUUACUCGUGCCAUAUCACCAAACAAACAUACAUACAUACAUACAUACAUACAUACAUACACGUAUGUGCAAUUAAAAGCAUUGACGGCUGUGAAAAAUCGCGCUUUUAAAGAACUAUUGAAAGAAAAAUGGUGAAUCAAAUAAUUGUGGGCACGCAAGAAGCAUAAAAAUAAAAAAUUAAAAAUUUAAAAAUUGAAUGAAAAUAACAAAAUAUGAUUAAAUUACAUACAACGAUAGAUGCGCUGAGAGUUUGACUGCUAGCUUCUCAUGCAUCCACCUUAUAGACCGGACGGACCUCCCACAAAGUGGCGAAGCCUGUAAAAAUCGUUGGUCUCAAUUUUUCGCCAAUAGAGAACUAAAGUUUUUAUGGGAGGGACAUAAUGACUUUAUCUUCAAAAUGGCAAAAAGCUAUCGAGCAACACGGUGUAUAUUUGACAUAAAACGGAUAACUCUGGCUAUGUAAUUUAUUGAACAACGAUAUCUUGAACAAAGGCCAGCAGCGUACGUGAAGUUGGCAAUUAUUAUGAAUUUGUCACAUAAAAAAAAAUAACAACAACAGCCAAGCAUGCGUUGGACCAUAAACAAUUUUACAACACUGCAGUAGAGAUAAGGAAAAUAUUUCGGCUGCUGAUAAGUCGGUCUAAAGUUAUUAUGGCAUAUUUCCCGGAAUUAAUAAAACACAGUAAUAAUAACAUUUGUAAAGUGUGUGAUGAAGACAGCUGAUGGUGCUGAGCAGUUUGUUAACGGAUUUGCGGAAUGAAAGAAAUUUGACUCUUGCGUCUGUUUGCAGGUGUUUAGCUGUUGCUACGAGUUAUAACAGUGUUUACAGAAUGAAUUUCGAUAACAGAGUAGAGGGAUAAGCGUGUUGGUGUAUGAAGAGUAUGCUUUUUCUAAUAAAUAAAAAAGCUUUACAAGUGAAAUAUGCAAAGAAACAGCUGAUGACGCACGAAGCAAGUUUAUGUAAAGUUAAUUAGAAAAACAUUUUGCGGGAAAUGCUAUAAAUUUUUACUGCUUAAAUUUAAAACCAAAAUCGGAUAAUUUUUUAAAUUUCUUCU